CCUACGGGAGGCAGCAGUGAGGAAUAUUGGUCAAUGGUCGGGAGACUGAACCAGCCAAGCCGCGUGAGGGAUGAAGGUACAGAGUAUCGUAAACCUCUUUUGUCAGGGAACAAAGGCGGGGACGUGUCCCCGGAUGAGUGUACCUGAAGAAAAAGCAUCGGCUAACUCCGUGCCAGCAGCCGCGGUAAUACGGAGGAUGCGAGCGUUAUCCGGAUUUAGUGGGUUUAAAGGGUGCGCAGGCGGUCUGUUAAGUCAGCGGUCAAAGCCCGGGGCACAACCCCGGCCCGCCGUUGAAACUGGCAGUCUCGAGUUGGAGAGAAGUAUGCGGAAUGCGCGGUGUAGCGGUGAAAUGCAUAGAUAUCGCGCAGAACUCCGAUUGCGAAGGCAGCAUGCCGGCUCCACACUGACGCUGAGGCACGAAAGCGUGGGUAUCGAACAGGAUUAGAUACCCCUGUAGUC
rnacentral:rRNA from 1 species